UACGUAGGGCGCAAGCGUUUGUCCGGAAUUAUUGGGCGUAAAGAGCUCGUAGGCGGUUUGUCGCGUCUGCUGUGAAAACCUAAGGCUCAACCUUGGGCUUGCAGUGGGUACGGGCAGACUAGAGUGGCGGUAGGGUGGACUGGAAUUCCUGGUGAUAGCGGUGGAAUGCGCAGACUAUCAGGAGGAACACCGAGUGGCGAAGGCAGGUCACUGGGC
rnacentral:rRNA from 1 species